GGCCCGGUAGCUCAGUGGUUAGAGCGCUGGCUUCGCAAGCCAAAUGACCGGGGUUCGAUUCCCCGGCCGGGUGG
rnacentral:tRNA from 1 species